AUCGCUUCUCGGCCUUAUGGCUAAGAUCAAGUGUAGUAUCUGUUCUUAUCAGUUUAAUAUCUGAUACGUCCCCUAUAUGGGGACUACAUAUUAAACGUCUUUUGGCAAUAGGCAUCGUUGAAGGAGCUUGCUCCAUGCGAUCCACGCAUUGACCCGGUAUUGCAGUACCGCCGGGA
rnacentral:snRNA from 1 species